rnacentral:rRNA from 1 species
GUCUAUGGCCAUGCCGCCCUGAACAAGCCUGAUGUCUGAUCUUGGAAGCUAAGCAGGGUUGGGCCUGGUUAGUACUUGGAUGGGAGACCACCUAGGAAGACCAGGUGCUGUAGGCA